UACGGGGGGGGCAAGCGUUGUUCGGAAUUACUGGGCGUAAAGGGCGCGUAGGCGGUUCGUUAAGUUGGAUGUGAAAACUCUGGGCUCAACCCAGAGCCUGCAUCCAAAACUGGCGGGCUAGAGUUCUGGAGGGGGUAGCGGAAUUCCUGGUGUAGCGGUGAAAUGCGUAGAUAUCAGGAGGAACACCGGUGGCGAAGGCGGGUCUCUGGGCCGAUACUGACGCUGAGGAGCGAAAGCGUGGGGAGCGAACAGG
rnacentral:rRNA from 1 species